rnacentral:rRNA from 1 species
GACCUACGGGAGGCAGCAGUGGGGAAUAUUGCACAAUGGGGGAAACCCUGAUGCAGCGACGCCGCGUGAAGGACGAAGUAUUUCGGUACGUAAACUUCUAUCAGCAGGGAAGAAGAUGACGGUACCUGACCAAGAAGCCCCGGCUAACUACGUGCCAGCAGCCGCGGUAAUACGUAGGGGGCAAGCGUUAUCCGGAUUUACUGGGUGUAAAGGGAGCGUAGACGGUGAUGCAAGUCAGAAGUGAAAGCCCGCGGCUCAACUGCGGGACUGCUUUUGAAACUGUAUGACUGGAGUGCAGGAGAGGG